rnacentral:rRNA from 1 species
GACGAACGCUGGCGGCGUGCCUAAUACAUGCAAGUAGAACGCUGAAGGAAGGAGCUUGCUCUUUCCGGAUGAGUUGCGAACGGGUGAGUAACGCGUAGGUAACCUGCCUGGUAGCGGGGGAUAACUAUUGGAAACGAUAGCUAAUACCGCAUAAUAGUAGAUAUCGCAUGAUAACUGCUUAAAAGGUGCAAUUGCAUCACUACCAGAUGGACCUGCGUUGUAUUAGCUAGUUGGUGAGGUAACGGCUCACCAAGGCAACGAUACAUAGCCGACCUGAGAGGGUGAUCGGCCACACUGGGACUGAGACACGGCCCAGACUCCUACGGGAGGCAGCAGUAGGGAAUCUUCGGCAAUGGACGGAAGUCUGACCGAGCAACGCCGAGUGAGUGAAGAAGGUUUUCGGAUCGUAAAGCUCUGUUGUAAGAGAAGAACGAGUGUGAGAGUGGAAAGUUCACACUGUGACGGUAUCUUACCAGAAAGGGACGGCUAACUACGUGCCAGCAGCCGCGGUAGUACGUAGGUCCCGAGCGUUGUCCGGAUUUAUUGGGCGUAAAGCGAGCGCAGGCGGUUAGAUAAGUCUGAAGUUAAAGGCUGUGGCUUAACCGUAGUACGCUUUGGAAACUGUUUAACUUGAGUGCAAGAGGGGAGAGUGGAAUUCCAUGUGUAGCGGUGAAAUGCGUAGAUAUAUGGAGGAACACCGGUGGCGAAAGCGGCUCUCUGGCUUGUAACUGACGCUGAGGCUCGAAAGCGUGGGGAGCAAACAGG